GUGAUCGAAAAAUAAAGAGUUUGCGGCGCCCGCGCCGCAGCCGACCCCAGAGUGUUAAUAAACCCAAAUUUACCACUUGCAUUAAAACACUUCAUAUAACACCAAACAAGACCAGUUUCAGAUUCUUUGUGCAUGUAGAAUGUAUACAGUUUGCUUUUAGAACAUGAGGAGAGGGGGACGAGAAAGUGUGGUAGGGUGUGUGACUCUAGGGUGUCUCACCACAUGGGGUAACUGUCUUGGGGGGUAGAUGUGAAUUCUUUGAGAAAGGUUUCAGAUGAUAAUUCAACAGGAAUUAGGAAGUGGUUCCCUGUGGAUUCAGCCAUUUGCUGCUGGCUUUUAGAAAUACCUUUUGUCAGGGUUUACAGGUCUUACAGCUGUCUCAAGCAAACAUGUUGUUAUCUGUGUUCUGCUAUAAGUUUCCAAACACCCUUUUAGUGAUGAAAAACAUCCGCAGGUUGAGAAUCCGGGACACCAUAACAGUUUUUUCCAGACUUGCAGUUUGUGGCGGCACAUUUGCGACGUGCACGUCCGCAUUAUAUAUGCUUAAAUGCAACUUGAAUGAGGCUCAGCGGAGUGCCGUCGACUGACGACACGGGUCGGGUGUUUGAACAGAAACUGUCAUGUGAGACAGAGGUAGUUAUAAACGUGAUGUGCAAACAUCUAUUUGUGGUGGCCAAUUUAAAUUUUGUGGCAGACUGAGAAAUAAAUGGCCAGGGUCAACCCACGACUCAUUCAUAUUGCGCAAUUCGCGUGUGGGGAACCGUCUAGAGGCUGGAGCAGGCAGAGAAUGUUGGCUUCUAGGUAAACAAUUUUUAUAUUUUACUUUCUCGUUUCUUGCUUUAAAGAUAUAACAAAUUACCUCUACACCAUUAGGUGACAGAGGCUAUCCUCUGAAGCCAUGGCUUCUCACCCCCGUGGCGCACCCACAGACACCCAAAGAAGCCCAUUUCAACACGGCCCAUGCCGGUGCGCGGUCGGUAGUGGAACGCACUAUCGGUAUGCUUAAGGGAAGGUGGCGGUGUUUGGAUGCAUCUGGAGGGAAGCUGCUAUAUGAGCCCCAAAAGGUGUGCAAGAUUAUCUUGGCCUGUUGUGUGCUGCACAACAUAUCUCUGAGCUAUGGUAUUGAGAUGCGACAGGAGGACAUGCGCAUGGACCUCGGAGGAGAGGAUCACCCACCGCUACCUGCUGAAUUGAACACCCAUGCCACUACUCUAAGACGACGCGAGUUGAUUCACCGUCUAAACCAACAGGACGCCAUCCGAUAGUACCCGUGCGGAGAAACCCGAAGAUGAUGCUGCUGCUGCUGAAGGCUGGGGAGGUCCGGGAGUGUGACCCUGCGGCAGGCACAUGCACAGAUAGGGCUCAACCUGUGCAGAACACAUGCCCUUUUUGUCCUUACUCGCGAAGUGCCCUUUUUUGGAGGUGUUUUAUUAUUUUUUUAAAUAUAUAAAUUAAUGCUAUUGUUAAACAUUUACGUCUGUCUGUGUGUUUUACAAAUAUAUUUAUCAAAUAAAAUUAUUAAAAAACUAAAUAUUUUUGGAUCCGCUCAAACUGUCUGUCAAACCUCUUAACUCCGCCCCCUGAGUGCAGCGAGCUGAAGUUCACAGCAGUCAGAGGCAGCUGAACGUCUUGCAACGUUUCAGCACAUGCCCCUCAAAAGGUCUGUGCACGGCCCUGCCCUGCGGUGCUGAUGGUACCCGUGCGGAGAAACCCGAAGAUGAUGCUGCUGAAGGCUGGGGAGGUCCGGGAGUGUGACCAUGCGGUGCUGCUAUUUUUCUUUGAAGUGGUGGUUCUUCUGUAUGAAAAUAAAGUGUACAAUUACGACAAUAUUGUAAUGUUUUUAAUUUUUUUAAUUGUGCAAAAUAAAAUGGCUUUAUUUAUAACACACAUACGUACCAUCUGAAUCUGCAGCAGACAAAAGAUCCGUGUCGCCCUCUGCAUACACUCCCAUCACAGCACUCUCUCCAAUUAUUGAGCCGAUCCGGUCAUCCUCUGGAGUGAGGCUUGUGUUGCCCCUUCCACCUCCCGUGGUCUGCACACUGGCCUUGUGUUGUGCAAGACGUUUUUUAGAUUUUAAUUUUAAAUCGGCCCACUUCUUCUUUACCUCCUUCAGGGACCUUUGCUGCCCCCCGACCUCAUUCACAGCCAAACACAUUGCCAAGCCACAUAUUUCGAUUUGUUGGAAAUGCCACUGGAGAGGUUUCCAAACAGUACUCCUGCCCGCAUCUGCACCUCGGCGAGGAGAACUUCUAUUUCUGCGUCGCUGACAUUUUUUUUUACCACUUGCCAUUGUAGCAGUCGGAAAAUUAGCCUUUGAUGAUUGAUUAUUUAUAUGCUAAUGAAUUAAAUUAGGGGCGUUUACAAGGCGGAGUUCUAAGAGCAUUCAGCUGCGCACAAUUUCAAGAUCAUUUGUGAUUUAUAAACCGCACAUCUGGAAAAGAGGCUUACGCACGUUUUUUUGUGCGUACACUCCUUUUCUCUGAAUCACACGUACGAUCAUUUCAGAAAUGAUCUUAGAUGAAAUGUAGGACAGUUCCUACGUCGCACUUUUAUAAAUGAGGCCCCUGGACUUUUACUGAAGUUAACAUCUCGUCAAGAGUCAUCAUGCAAGUUCAGCACAGUUGGCUAAAUCAUUAGAAAGUCAAUCUGUGGUGUUUCCUGUGACACCACACGACAGAAGUAUAGUGCAAAGGAGAGGCAUGCAUGGCUGUCAUUCAUAGAGGAAGCCACUGGUAAAGACAAUGCACAAAAAGCCUUUUGCUAGAGCUCCUAUUGAGAAAGGUAAAGACUAUUGGGUCUCUAACUCUCUAUACUGUAAUAAACCUCGUCCCUGAGGUACUGGGGAGCCUUAAUUUAUAUAGGCUAAAUAAACUGCCACCACCUUAAAUUAUAACCCGGUCAGGUCCGGGAGAGGAGAAUGCCAAACACACAGCCAAACACAACUAGCAAAAUAUCACUUUAUUCCAAAAAUAGCAGCUCAGUAGCACUUGUUGACAUAUCUCUUUUCCUAAUAAAUAUCAUACGUUGGUCAGCUCAAACCAUAUCAAAAUACACACUAUAAAAUCAACCCAGUAAAUAUAAAUACACAGCACAGCACAUUUGAUUACUGUCAAAUCACAGCAUGUCGUAAUGUGCCCCGAGUGAGGCCAAGGGGAGGUGGUAGUGUCAUGAAUUUGGUUUUCUCUGUCUGCCUUUUUGUCACACACACACACACACACACACACACGCUAUCACUCGCAUACACCCCUUCAUUUUUAGUUGGACAUCAUUCUCUCUCUCUCCCCGCUCACCUGUAUGUCAUUGCAAUCUGCGCUUGCGCUGAUUGCUUUGACACCUGUUCCCACUCUGCCCUUAGCAUUUAUCUGGUGGCUGUUUUGGGCAGUCCCUUUGUCGGAUUAUUGAAUUACACAUGUUCUCUGUAUCUCAACAGCCUUGUCGUGUCGUGUCUAGGAAAAACUCACCCAGUCUUGUCUUGUCUGUCCUGUCCAGUCCCUCCACUAAGUGCUUGAUGUUCAGCUGCGUGUGAAGCUGAGGAGUGUUCUACGUACCUCAUUUAUCCUCUGCUGCGCUCCGGGCCAGCUCCAGGGAAUAUUUCUGUGUCGUUUUCCCAGAUCGGGACUCAAGUAUCAUUUGUUACAUUCCAGUACUGUGUGAUAUCUCCAGACUGCCUUUGUUACCUUAAUUAAAGACUCAUUCCCUGUGAUAUCUGCCUUUGGAACUCUUUUACUUAUUACAGAAUAAUCCGACCAGAAUAUGGAUCCUACGGAGGAGAAAUCAGUUUUUUCAGCAGUUGAAGUACAAGGGGCCAUGCUUGGCAGGCACGAGGAACAACUGGCCGCCGCGCAUCAGGCUGUGGGGAGUCUCUCCGCUCAGGUGGCCGAUCUGUCCGCCCGUUUACUCCAUCUUCAUCAGGAGGCGGCCGUGCCAUCUAAUCGACACCAGCCCGCGGAGCCCAGGGUUAACAACCCAUCCAGUUAUGCCGGUGAGCCCACGGAAUGCAGGGCUUUUCUCAUCCAAUAUGAGGUUGUCUUUUCUCUUCAGCCUCAGACAUAUGCGGAGGAUCGAGCUCGUGUUGCCUUCGUUCUCUCCCUCUUGACGGGUCGAGCACGCGAGUGGGGAACAUCUGUGUGGGAGGCGAAUGCCCCAUGCUGCAGCAAGUACAGUCUUUUCAAGGAGGAGAUGACCAAGGUUUUUGAUCGGUCCGUGUUUGGCAGUGAAGCUUCCCGUCUCCUCGCCACUCUUCGUCAGGGGAGGAGAUCUGUGGCCAACUUUGCUAUAGAGUUUCGUAC